GCUGGGCAUAGUGGUGUGUGCCUGUAGUCCCAGCUACUCAGGAGGCUGAGGUGGGAGAGUCGCUUGAGCCCAGGAGGGAGAGGCUGCCGUGAGCUAUGGUCACGCCACUGCGCUGCAGACUAGGUCACAGAGCAAGACCUUGUCUCUUUAAAAAAGAAAAAAGCCGGGCGCAGUGGCUCACGCCUGUAAUCCCAGCACUUUGGGAGGCCAAGGCAGGUGGAUCACAAGGUCAGGAGAUUGAGACCAUCCUGGCCAACAUGGUGAAACCCCAUCUCU
rnacentral:sRNA from 1 species